AGACGAUAUCUAUCAAAAUGGAAAGUAUCCCCCAGCUGUGAUGGUCUGAAAAAAUCCUAUGCCAGCUAGCAUGACUAUUUCUUUCUGAGUCUGAAUUUUCUUUGAGUGUUUCAGAACACGUGUUCCAGAACAGAACUGCAUUCACAGAGCUGUUUGCCUUCAGAAGAGAGUGCUUAGGACCGUUUACUGGCCUGUGAACAAAAUAACUCCAGCUUGCUAUGGGAG